rnacentral:rRNA from 1 species
UGGGGAAUAUUGGACAAUGGGGGCAACCCUGAUCCAGCAAUGCCGCGUGUGUGAAGAAGGUCUUCGGAUUGUAAAGCACUUUCGACGGGGACGAUGAUGACGGUACCCGUAGAAGAAGCCCCGGCUAACUUCGUGCCAGCAGCCGCGGUAAUACGAAGGGGGCUAGCGUUGCUCGGAAUGACUGGGCGUAAAGGGCGUGUAGGCGGUUUACACAGUCAGAUGUGAAAU